CCGCCUAUUUACUCUGCGGAAAUGAUGCGCUCUGUUGGUUCUUGUUGUAAAACACGCGUGGGAAUUUGACGGAGAGCGUAUGCAAAGCACCGUAGCGGAGGUGAGGAUGAAAAGGACAUAGAAAGAGAAGGAAAGCUUUUAAGUUGGAACCCUCUUAACCUAAAAGGACUAUUCGACUGCAGCUAGCAUUCCCUGUGGGAGGGGCUACAUGCAGUCUUAAGUGAUUAUGAAGUCAUCAAAUGGUGCAAUAGUAUUGCAGCCCCUCAUCUGUUGAAAUAUAUUAAAAUGUUACAUUUAA